GGGCCCGCACAAGCGGUGGAGCAUGUGGUUUAAUUCGAUGAUACGCGCAAAACCUUACCGGCUCUUGACAUGUGACGUUUGGGGACCAGAGAUGGCCUCCUUCACCUCGGGUGGCGUCAACACAGGUGCUGCAUGGCUGUCGUCAGCUCGUGUUGUGAGAUGUUGGGUUAAGUCCUGCAACGAGCGCAACCCUCAUCGUUAGUUGCCAUCAGGUAAAGCUGGGCACUUUAACGAAACUGCCGGUGAUAAACCGGAGGAAGGUGAGGAUGACGUCAAGUCCUCAUGGUCCUUAUGGGCCGGGCUACACACGUAAUACAAUGGUAGUUACAGAGAGCUGCAAAGAUGUGAAAGUCUGAGCGAAUCUCUUAAAAACUAUCUCAGUUCGGAUUGUCUCCUGCAACUCGGAGGCAUGAAGUCGGAAUCGCUAGUAAUCGCAGAUCAGCAUGCUG
rnacentral:rRNA from 1 species